rnacentral:rRNA from 1 species
CCCUUAGAUGUUCUGGGCCGCACGCGCGCUACACUGAUGCAUUCAACGAGCCUAUCCUUGACCGACAGGUCCGGGUAAUCUUUGAAUCUGCAUCGUGACGGGGAUAGAUUAUUGCAAUUAUUAAUCUUCAACGAGGAAUGCCUAGUAGGCGCAAGUCAUCAGCUUGCGUCGAUUACGUCCCUGCCCUUUGUACACACCGCCCGUCGCUCCUACCGAUUGGGUGUGCUGGUGAAAUGUUCGGAUCGGCCGUUUGUCGCGGUUUCCGCGUCACGUGGCUGAGAAGUUCAUUAAACCCUCCCACCUAGAGGAAGGAGAAGUCGUAACA